GCUCGUUCCCUUGUGGAGCGAGCGCAGUUAUUARAACAAAACCAAUCCGGCCUUCGGGUCGGUUAAAAUGGUGACUCUGAAUAACCGAAGCGGAGCGUAUGGUCUCGUACCGACGCCAGAUCUUUCAAGUGACUGCUCUAUCAGCUUGUUGCUAGGUUAUGCUCCUAGCAAGGCUUCAACGGGUAACGGGGUAUCAGGGUCCGAUACCGGAGAGGGAGCCUGAGAAACGGCUACCACAUCCAAGGAAGGCAGCAGGCGCGCAAAUUACCCACUCCCAGCACGGGGAGGUAGUGACGAAAAAUAACGAUGCGAGGGCAUAUUGCUUCUCGUAAUCGGAAUGGGUACACUUUAAAUCCUUUAACGAGGAUCUAUUGGAGGGCAAGUCUGGUGCCAGCAGCCGCGGUAAUUCCAGCUCCAAUAGCGUAUAUUAAAGUUGCUGCGGUUAAAAAGCUCGUAGUUGGAUCUGGGCAGCUGGAUGUGCGGUGCGCUUUACAGCGUUACUGCUCGUUUGGCGCCACAAGCCGGCCAUGUCUUGCAUGCUCUUCACUGCGUGUGCUUGGCGACCGGAACGUUUACUUUGAAAAAAUUAGAGUGCUCAAAGCAGGCGUAUGGCCUUGCAUAAUGGUGCAUGGAAUAAUGGAAUAGGACCUCGGUUCUAUUUUGUUGGUUAUCGGAGCUCGAGGUAAUGAUUAAGAGGAACAGACGGGGGCAUUCGUAUUGCGGCGUUAGAGGUGAAAUUCUUGGAUCGUCGCAAGACGAACUACUGCGAAAGCAUUUGCCAAGAAUGUUUU
rnacentral:rRNA from 1 species